rnacentral:lncRNA from 1 species
UGGUGAAAGACUCUUUCAAGCCGUCAUCUAGUAUCGAUCCGAAGUUAUCUCCGACCCUUAUCCGACUUAUCCAUGGAUAAGAAGUUGUGUGAGGUCUUCAGAGGUCUUCGGCAUUAUUUCGAUGACUGUGCUCAGUUUGGCUAAGUCUUGCGAUAGGGCUUUUCAGUACAAGGGACAAUCUUAUUCACAACGAAGGUAUAAGAACUUGCAUCGCUUACUGGUAGUGUAGACAAAGUCUUUCGGAGUCUCAAGUCCAUGGAGGCU